rnacentral:rRNA from 1 species
GGGUUGUUGCUGGCUCUCUAGGGAGCAUGUGCACACCUUGUCAUCUUUAUAUCUCCACCUGUGCACAUUUUGUAGACCUGAAAAGGUCUAUGUUGCUUCAAUUUACCCCAAUGUAUGUUAAUAGAAUGUUGUGCCUAUAUAAUAUAUACAACUUUCAGCAACGGAUCUCUUGGCUCUCGCAUCGAUGAAGAACGCAGCGAAAUGCGAUAAGUAAUGUGAAUUGCAGAAUUCAGUGAAUCAUCGAAUCUUUGAACGCACCUUGCGCUCCUUGGUAUUCCGAGGAGCAUGCCUGUUUGAGUGUCAUUAAUAUAUAUAUCAACCCUCUCUUGUUGAGUGAUUUGGAUGUGGGGGUUUGCUGGGCUCAUAAAGGGUUCAGCUCUCCUGAAAUGCAUUAGCAGGACAACCCUUGUUCAUUGGUGUGAUAACUUAUCUACGCUAUUGAAUAUGAGGGGCAGUUCAGCUUUCUAACAGUCCUUGGACAAAUUCAUCAUUAAUGUGACCUCAAAUCAGGUAGGACUACCCGCUGAACUUAAGCGUAUCAAUAAGCGGAGGAAAAGAAACUAACAAGGAUUCCCCUAGUAACUGCGAGUGAAGCGGGAAAAGCUCAAAUUUAAAAUCUGGCGGUCUUAUGGCUGUCCGAGUUGUAAUCUAGAGAAGUGUUAUCCGCGCUGGACCGUGUAAAAGUCUCCUGAAUGGAGCAUCAUAGAGGGUGAGAAUCCCGUCUUUGACAUGGACUGCCAGGGCUUUGUGAUGCGCUCUCAAAGAGUCGAGUUGUUCGGGAAUGCAGCUCAAAAUGGGUGGUAA